GGCCAAGCUACUAAGGGCGUAUGGUGGAUGCCUUGGCGCCAGGAGGCGAUGAAAGACGUGGUAGGCUGCGAUAAGCCUUGGGGAGCCGCCAAACAGGCUUAGAUCCAGGGAUUUCUGAAUGGGGAAACCCGGUUCGUGUCAUGACGGACCAUCUGCAGUUGAAUACAUAGGCUGCAGAGGCGAACGAGGGGAACUGAAACAUCUAAGUACCCUCAGGAACAGAAAACAAAAGUGAUUCCCUCAGUAGCGGCGAGCGAAAGGGGAAGAGCCUAAACCGGAUAUGUGUGAUAGCCCGAAAGCGUUGCAUGUCCGGGGUUGUGGGUCUUUAUCGGAGAAGGUUUCGGACUUCUCGGAAAGUUACAAACCGUGUUCAUAGCUGAAUCCUCUGGAAAGAGGAACCACAGAAGGUGAUAGUCCCGUAAGCGAAAUGAAUACGGCUUUCCUGAUAAGGUACCCGAGUACCACGGGGCACGUGGAAUCCCGUGGGAAUCCAGGAGGACCAUCUCCUAAGGCUAAAUACUACCUGGCGACCGAUAGUGAACCAGUACCGUGAGGGAAAGGUGAAAAGUACUCCGAGAGGAGAGUGAAAUAGUACCUGAAACCGUAUGCCUACAAACUGUGGAAGGACUAUGAUUGUUGCUUCGGCGGCAAUCAGUCUGACUGCGUGCCUUUUGCAUAAUGAGUCAGCGAGUUACUCUGUGUAGCAAGGUUAAGCCGACAGGUGGAGCCGUAGCGAAAGCGAGUCUUAACAGGGCGAUUGAGUUGCAUAGAGUAGACCCGAAACCAAGUGAUCUAUCCAUGGCCAGGGUGAAGCGCAUGUAACAGUGCGUGAAGGCCCGAACCGGUGUAGGUUGAAAACUGCUCGGAUGAGCUGUGGAUAGGGGUGAAAGGCCAAUCAAACUUGGAAAUAGCUGGUUCUCCCCGAAAUAUAUUUUGGUAUAGCCUUGUAAUGUAAGUAUUGGAGGUAGAGCACUGAAUGGACUAGGGGCCCCACCAGGUUACCAAACCCAAUCAAACUCCGAAUGCCAAUAACUGUAAUUACAGGAGUCAGACUACGGGUGAGAAGGUCCGUGGUCGAGAGGGAAACAGCCCAGAUCGCCGGCUAAGGUCCCUAAUACAUGCUAAGUGUAAAAGGAGGUGGAAACGUACAGACAACCAGGAGGUUGGCUUAGAAGCAGCCACCCUUUAAAGAAAGCGUAAUAGCUCACUGGUCGAAUGGGUCUGCGCCGAAAAUUUAACGGGGCUCAAGCAUGUAACCGAAGCCGCGGGAUAGUUCCGAUUCGUCGGAACGAUCGGUAGGGGAGCGUUCCAUGGUAGGCUGAAGCCGGACCGUAAGGACCGGUGGACGAAAUGGAAGUGAUUAUGCUGACAUAAGUAGCGAUAAAGCAGGUGAAAAACCUGCUCGCCGAAAGCCCAAGGUUUCCUGAGUAAAGCUAAUCUGCUCAGGGUUAGUCGACCCCUAAGCCGAGGCCGAAAGGCGUAGGUGAUGGGAAACAGGUUAAUAUUCCUGUACCACUGAUCAGCGUUUGAGUGAUGGGGGGACGUAGAAGGGUAGACCAUCCAGGUGCUGGACGUCCUGGUUCAAGCCCGUAGGGAGGAAUUCCAGGCAAAUCCGGAAUUCCAUUCAAUCCCGAGAGGUGAUGAGGAGAGAUUUAUCUCGUAAACUGGUUGAUCCCAUGCUACCAAGAAAAGCCUCUAGCGAGCUGCAUCGGUGAUCGUACCGCAAACCGACACAGGUAGGCGAGGAGAGUAUCCUAAGGCGCUUGAGAGAAUUCUCGUUAAGGAACUCGGCAAAAUAACACCGUAACUUCGGGAGAAGGUGUGCCCCGUUAGCGUGAAGCGAUUCGCACGUGAAGCGCGAGGGGGUUGCAGUGAAAAGGCCCAAGCGACUGUUUAGCAAAAACACAGGUCUCUGCAAAGUCGUAAGACGACGUAUAGGGACUGACGCCUGCCCGGUGCUGGAAGGUUAAGGGGAUUUGUCAACCGUAAGGUGAAGCUUUGAACCGAAGCCCCAGUAAACGGCGGCCGUAACUAUAACGGUCCUAAGGUAGCGAAAUUCCUUGUCGGGUAAGUUCCGACCUGCACGAAUGGCGUAACGAUUUGGGCACUGUCUCAACGAGAAGCUCAGCGAAUUUGAUAAACCGGUGAAGAAGCCGGUUACCCGCAACUAGACGGAAAGACCCCGUGCACCUUUACUAUAACCUGAUAGUGAGCUUUGGACUAGUUUGUGUAGGAUAGGUGGGAGGCUGUGAAGUGCCGACGCCAGUCGGCAUGGAGCCAUCCUUGAAAUACCACCCUGAUUAUUCCGGAGUUCUAACCCAGGCCCGUUAUCCGGGUCGGGGACACUGUCAGGCGGGUAGUUUGGCUGGGGCGGUCGCCUCCCAAAGAGUAACGGAGGCGCGCGAAGGUUCCCUCAGGCUGAUUGGAAACCAGCCGUAGAGUGUAAAGGCACAAGGGAGCUUGACUGCGAGACCUACAAGUCGAGCAGGUGCGAAAGCAGGUCUUAGUGAUCCGGCGGUUCCGAAUGGAAGGGCCGUCGCUCAACGGAUAAAAGGUACGCCGGGGAUAACAGGCUUAUCUCCCCCAAGAGUUCACAUCGACGGGGAGGUUUGGCACCUCGAUGUCGGCUCAUCGCAUCCUGGGGCUGGAUAAGGUCCCAAGGGUUUGGCUGUUCGCCAAUUAAAGCGGUACGUGAGCUGGGUUCAGAACGUCGUGAGACAGUUCGGUCCCUAUCUGUUGCGGGCGUAGGAUAUUUGAGAGGAGCUGUCCCUAGUACGAGAGGACCGGGAUGGACGAACCUCCGGUGUUCCAGUUGUCGUGCCAACGGCACUGCUGGGUAGCCGCGUUCGGAAGGGAUAACCGCUGAAAGCAUCUAAGUGGGAAGCCCACCUCGAGAUAAGAUAUCCCUUUUGAUGGAGACAUCAAAACUGAAGACCCCUCAGAGACGAUGAGGUUGAUAGGUCAGAGGUGUAAGUGCGGUAACGCAUUCAGCUUACUGAUACUAAUCGGUCGUGAGGCUUGGCCAU
rnacentral:rRNA from 1 species